AUGCGGAGGAAAAGGAAACCAACAGGGAUUGCUCUAGUAACGGCGAGUGAACAAGCAAAAGCUCAGUUUUGAAAGCCUACUUUGUAGGCAUUGUAUUCUGAAGCCUAGAUUCUGGGAAACGGUGUUUAAGUCUUCUGGAAAGGAGCGCCACGGAGGGUGAUAGCCCCGUACGGCACUGACCCCAUUGUAGUUUCUAGGCGUGGAGUCGAGUUGUUUGGGAAUGCAGCUCAAAUGGGAGGUAUGCUCCUUCUAAAGCUAAAUAUUUGCGAGAGACCGAUAGCGAACAAGUACUGUGAAGGAAAGAUGAAAAGAACUUUGAAAAGAGAGUGAAAUAGGACGUGAAAUUGUUGAAAUGGAAGGGUAGGCUGCUAACCAUGUAGGACCGUGUCUGAGGGGAAGAUAAAAGCUACGGAAUGUGACUCUUCGGAGUGUUAUAGCCGUGGUCAAUGUUCCCACUUAGGCGCGAGGAUUCUCAG
rnacentral:rRNA from 1 species